rnacentral:rRNA from 1 species
GAUAGGGGUGAAAGGCCAAUCAAACCCGGAGAUAUCUCGUUCUCCCCGAAAUAGCUUUAGGGCUAGCCUCGGCCGUUCUCCGACGGCGGUAGAGCACUGGAUCGUCGAGGGGGCUUCACCGCCUACCGACACGAACCAAACUCCGAAUGCCGCCGGAUCAGAGGCCGGGAGUCAGAACAUGUGGGCUAAGCUGUGUGUUCGAGAGGGAAACAGCCCAGACCGCCCGCUAAGGUCCCCAAGUUUAUGCUGAGUGGCAAAGGAUGUGCGUUUGCCUAGACAACCAGGAUGUUGGCUUAGAAGCAGCCAUGCAUUUAAAGAGUGCGUAACAGCUCACUGGUCAAGUGGACAUGCGCCGACAAUUCACGGGGCUAAGCAUAACACCGAAGCGGCGGACUAAUCUAUAUUAGUGGUAGGGGAGCUUUCCCCGCAGCGGAGAAGCCGAGAGGGCGACCCUCGGUGGAGCGCGGGGAAGUGAGAAUGCUGGCAUGAGUAACGAGAGCGGCGCGAGAAACGCCGCCGCCGUAAGCCUAAGGGUUCCUGGGCAAGGCUAAUCCUCCCAGGGUCAGUCGGGAGCUAAGGCGAGGCCGAGAGGCGUAGCCGAUGCGCAACAGGCGGACAUUCCUGUACCGCCUGCGGACCGCUAUCACCGACGGGGUGACGGAGAAGGGUAGCCGAGCGGGGUUCUGGACGUCCCCGUGAAAGCGCGUAGGGAGCAUCGCAUGGAAAUCAGCGGCGCAUAUAUCCUGAGACGCGAGACGAAAGCUUAUGCUGAAGUCGGCGAGCCCAUGCUUCCGAGAAAAACCUCUAGGAAGGGACGCAGGCGCCCGUACCAAAACCGACACAGGUGGGCAGGUAGAGCAUACCGAGGCGAUCGGGAGAACCAUGGUUAAGGAACUCGGCAUACUGACUCCGUAACUUCGGGAGAAGGAGUGCCCCUGGCGGUGACGGGACUAGCUCCCCGAGCGGCCGGGGGUCGCAGCGAAACGGCCCAAGCGACUGUUUUUAAUAAACAGUUGCAGCCAGCUGGUAUCUUCGACUGAUUUCAGCUCCACGAGCAAGUCGCUUCACCUACAU